GGGGAGAAAGCAUAAUGGUUAUGCAAAAGCUUUUCAAGCUUGAGGCUCUGAGGUUCCAGGUUCAAUCCCUAGCCCCA
rnacentral:tRNA from 1 species